CCUGCGGAAGGAUCAUUACUGUAAACAAAGGCCGAGCGGUUGUUGCUGGUCCUCCGGGACAUGUGCACACCCUUCGGUCGACAUCCUUCACACCCCUGUGCACCUCUGCGUGUGGCUCCCCCUCGCUUCGGCUUGUGGGGGCCCGCGUUUCUUAUAAACACCCUUGUAUGUCUUACGAAUGUCUACUAUGCGAUAAAAAGCAUCUAAUACAACUUUCAACAACGGAUCUCUUGGCUCUCGCAUCGAUGAAGAACGCAGCGAAAUGCGAUAAGUAAUGUGAAUUGCAGAAUUCAGUGAAUCAUCGAAUCUUUGAACGCACCUUGCACCCCUUGGUAUUCCGAGGGGUACGCCUGUUUGAGUGUCGUGAAAUUCUCAACCCCGCCCCUUUUUGCGAGGGGCGUCGGUGGCUUGGACCUGGAGGCUUUGCCGGGGAAAAGGGUUUCGACCCCGCUCUCGGCUCCUCUCGAAGGCAUUAGUAGGACCCUUUGCGGCCUCGGUGUGAUAAUUGUCUACGCCGUGGGUUUAGCAUGUCAUGGGACCCGCUUCCAACCGUCUCGCAAGGGACACUUUCAAUCGAAACUUGACCUCAGAUCAGGCGGGACUACCCGCUGAACUUAAGCAUAUCAAUA
rnacentral:rRNA from 1 species